rnacentral:lncRNA from 1 species
UCCAAAGCACAAAAAGUGCCUUGGAGUUGAGUCCGCGAGAGCAAAUGAGGCAAAUUGCAUCAUUGGGCUGAUGUUGCUCUUGGGGACCGGUCUCUACAGGUGAGAGACCGGUUCCCCUGACUGGGCGUAGCGGGGUUGCGUGAUGCAACCGGUCCCUGGCCGGGAGGGACCGGUUCCCGAACGUGGACCCAGCAAGAGAUGCCAAAAAUUGACUAAGUCCUGAAGAUUGAGCUCUCGGGGACCGGUCUCCCAGGUGAGGACCGGUCUCCCGAGGACCGGUCUCCCGGGGAGAGACCGGUUCCCGAACGCGUGCGCCCGAGGGAAGCUCUCGGGGACCGGUCCCAAGUCGGGGAGACCGGUCCCUCCGCGCGAGAACUGCCCAGUGAGGGCAGUGUACAGGAGUGAAAGUUGAGGGACUUUUAUGCAAAAUGGCCUUUAUUUGAGUGGGCUGAGCUCUUUCUCUCCCUCACACUCUCUCAUUCCACUCUCUCUCACUCUCUUUCUCUCUCUCUCUCUCUCUCUCUCUCUCUCUAGAGAUAACAAAGAAGGAGAAGAAGAAAGAGAAGAAGAAGAAGGAGGAGAAGAAGAAGAAGAAGGAGGAGAAGAAGAAGGAGGCUAGGAGCAUCUUCCUCUCCCUCUCCUCUUCCCAUUGGUGUAGCUCAAGAGGUAGGCUACAAACCCUAUGUAGCACACUGGAUCUUUGCAAAUUGCGAGGUUCGAGUGUUCGAUUGGUAUUCCGAACUUUUCCACACUUGGUGGAGGGCCGUCGAUGGUAUACCGGCCUAAAAGUUCGAUCUCGAGAGUUUUGGCAGAGUCCUGAGAGUUUUUACUCUCGGGGACCGGUCCCUGAUAGGAGAGACCGGUCCCCCAGUGAACAGUACCGCGCAGCAGGCGAGGCAACCGGUCCUUGGCAGUUGAGACCGGUCCCCGAGCCCGUCUGCGCGGGGAGAGACCGGUCCCGCGCAGGGAGAGACCGGUUCCCGAACGCUGGUUUUUCGGGUUCGCAGCGAGAGACCGGUCCCUGCUGGGGAGAGACCGGUCCCUCUGGGCGAAAACUGCCCAGUCCGGGCUGAUGUAAAUUUGAGUUUUUGAGGGGCCUAUGUGGAUUUUGUUACUUUAGAGGCUAUAGGCAGCCUCUCCUCCCCUCUCACUCUCAUUUUCUCUCCCUCACACUCUUCCUACACUUCUAGAGAGAGAAAGGGAAGGAGAAGAAGGAGAAGAAGAGGAAAAGGAGCUUGCAUAGAGGCCUUGGGGCAUCAUCUUCUUCCUCAUUUUCCACCUUUGGAGGCUUGGAGCAUGCGGUUGGAGCCUUGUGGAGGAUCAAACUCCAACCCUACUUGGUUUUGAGCUUGGAUUGGGGCUUCUCUUGAGGUUGGUAGCUUAUAAUCCCCAUUUGAUACUUGUUUUCCUAGGUUUUUCUAGAUGAAACCCUAGAUUUUGGGAUUUAGGGUUUAUUUUGGGGGUUUUUGGAUUUGAGGGUUAUGAGACCUAAUUGACGGGUUUGG